GAUGAACGCUAGCUACAGGCUUAACACAUGCAAGUCGAGGGGCAGCAUGAACAUAGCUUGCUAUGUUUGAUGGCGACCGGCGCACGGGUGCGUAACACGUAUCCAAUCUACCCAUGGCUCGGGGAUAGCCUUUCGAAAGAAAGAUUAAUACCCGAUGGUCUCGGUUUAAGGCAUCUUAGACUGAGUAAAGAUUUAUCGGCGAUGGAUGAGGAUGCGCCUGAUUAGGUAGAUGGCGGGGUAACGGCCCACCAUGCCUACGAUCAGUAGGGGUUCUGAGAGGAAGGUCCCCCACAUUGGAACUGAGACACGGUCCAAACUCCUACGGGAGGCAGCAGUGAGGAAUAUUGGUCAAUGGACGAGAGUCUGAACCAGCCAAGUAGCGUGAAGGAUGACUGCCCUAUGGGUUGUAAACUUCUUUUGUUUGGGAAUAAAGUUCGGGACGUGUCCCGUUUUGUAUGUACCAUUCGAAUAAGCAUCGGCUAAUUCCGUGCCAGCCGCCGCUGUAACAC
rnacentral:rRNA from 1 species